rnacentral:pre_miRNA from 1 species
UCUUAUUUAUGAGCAAAGUAAGUGGUUUCUUGACAUGGGAUUUACUCUUGGUGAAGAUACUGUGAA